rnacentral:rRNA from 1 species
UUGAACGCUGGCGGCAGGCCUAACGCAUGCAAGUCGAGCGGAUGAAGGGAGCUUGCUCCUGGAUUCAGCGGCGGACGGGUGAGUAAUGCCUAGGAAUCUGCCUGGUAGUGGGGGAUAACGUCCGGAAACGGGCGCUAAUACCGCAUACGUCCUGAGGGAGAAAGUGGGGGAUCUUCGGACCUCACGCUAUCAGAUGAGCCUAGGUCGGAUUAGCUAGUUGGUGGGGUAAGGCCUACCAAGGCGACGAUCCGUAACUGGUCUGAGAGGAUGAUCAGUCACACUGGAACUGAGACACGGUCCAGACUCCUACGGGAGGCAGCAGUGGGGAAUAUUGGACAAUGGGCGAAAGCCUGAUCCAGCCAUGCCGCGUGUGUGAAGAAGGUCUUCGGAUUGUAAAGCACUUUAAGUUGGGAGGAAGGGCAGUAAGUUAAUACCUUGCUGUUUUGACGUUACCAACAGAAUAAGCACCGGCUAACUUCGUG